rnacentral:rRNA from 1 species
CUACGGGAGGCAGCAGUGGGGAAUCUUGGACAAUGGGCGCAAGCUGAUCCAGCCAUGCCGCGUGAGUUAUGAAGGCCUUAGGGUCGUAAAGCUCUUUCGCCUGUUAUGAUAAUGACAGUAGCAGGUAAAGAAACCCCGGCUAACUCCGUGCCAGCAGCCGCGGUAAUACGGAGGGGGUUAGCGUUGUUCGGAAUUACUGGGCGUAAAGCGCGCGUAGGCGGACUAGUCAGUCAGAGGUGAAAUCCCAGGGCUCAACCCUGGAACUGCCUUUGAUACUGCUAGUCUUGAGUUCGAGAGAGGUAAGUGGAAUUCCGAGUGUAGAGGUGAAAUUCGUAGAUAUUCGGAGGAACACCAGUGGCGAAGGCGACUUACUGGCUCGAUACUGACGCUGAGGUGCGAAAGUGUGGGGAGCAAACAGGAUUAGAUACCCUGGUAGUCCACACCGUAAACGAUGAAUGCCAGUCGUCGGCAAGCAUGCUUGUCGGUGACACACCUAACGGAUUAAGCAUUUCCGCYUGGGGAGUCGGUCGCAAGAUUAAAACUCAAAGGAAUUGACGG